GGUUAAAACAGCUACGUGUCAGUACCUACUCCUGUCUGGUAAGUGCAACUUAUUGUCCUGGGAAGUUGCAACGACAAAUGUCCGCAGCUUUCUCACUCUCUUCUCUCUCGUGUUAUGUCGCUGAUCUUGAAUUUCUAGCGAGUCAUAGUAAAAACCUAAUUAGAUCGAAAAAAGAGAUACAGAGGUAAAAUGGGAGCUUCUUCAUCUUCCGAACAAGACGAAAUCACAGAGGAAGAAGAAUUAGAACAACAAGAGUUAGAAUCUUUAGCAGCUUCAACUGGAGCUCUUUCGAUUCUUCAAAAAUCUUUUUCAAAUCUCUCCGAUCCCGAUACCAAUUCGAUUCCCAUCCCAUCUCUUCAAGAAUGCUUCAGAUUAACCUUCGAAAACACACCCAGUAAAAUGAAGUCGCCAUUGCCCGAAUGUUUUUCGAGGUUAUUAACUCAUCUAGGUCCAGCCGUGGUCGACUUGUUUUUUAUAGCGGAUGAAAAUGAUGGAGUUCAUUGGAUUGAGUUCUUAAGAGGUUAUAUUAGAUGUUGUGGAAGGAUGUCAUUAUCAGUUUCUCUCAACACCGUGUAUAAAUUAUACGCUGGUAUAAGUGCUAAAGCUGGCGCUCCUUCAAAAUUAGAAUUUGAAUCGAAAGACGAUGAUUCUAAAACUAGUGGUAAUUUCACGUCGGAUGAUGUUUUCAUGCUCCUAUGGAUGUGUUGGAUUAUGUCAUGGACUUCGGAAAUAUCUAAGCACUCUAAGCACCCAAUGAAUGUCCAUCUACCAAAUAUAAACCAUUUGAUAUUAUCAGCUGUCACGUCGUGUGUUGAAAUCAGCAGCGAUGUAGAUGUGGGGAAGGUUAAUAUCUCGGAUUUGAAUGUUCAAUUGCCUGCUGAGAAACUUCAUGCGUGGGCUUUGACAACAGUCCCAAAUCUUGCUCAUUGCUUUACUCAGUAUGUUCAUGAUAGACUUCAAAGAUGUACGGUCACAGAGGAACCACAUAGCUCAAGCAUAUCCAUCGUGGAGAGCUCCUCAACAGAGUCACAUAACCCAUGUCUUUUAACUUCUGGAAAAGCUUGGGCUAUCUCUCUUACACUUACAAGUACCGUAAACAAAGAGAUUCUAAAGACAUGUGUUCCCAAAGAUAGUGUUGGAGAAUUCGAAAACCUUUUGUAUAGGUCGUCUGUUCAUGGAAAAGUCAUGAAUAGGUUCUGGUCUAGUGUUGACGGUUACCAUGGAGCACUGUUAGUUUUGAUUUCUGCUUGUUCUAUAGAAAGCUGUGAAGGUGAUUCCAAUCCCGGGAGAUGGAUUAUUGGUGUAUUAACUGAUCAGGGCUUUGAAAACAAAGAUGUCUUCUAUGGAAGCUCUGGAUACCUAUAUGCUUUAAGUCCAAUUUUCCAUGUCUGUUCACCUACUGGAAGAGAUAAGAACUUUAUAUACAGCCACUUGCAGCCUGCUGGUAGAGGAGUAUAUGAACCGCAUCCAAAGCCUGUUGGUGUUGCUUUUGGGGGAACUCCUGGAAAUGAGAGGAUAUUUAUUAAUCAAGAUUUCUCUACAAUGACUAUUUGUUACCAUGCUGUUGACAAGACUUACCGACCUGGAUCCCUUUUUCCCAAUCAGGGAAUUUUAACUUACGAAGCUUCAAUUCUGGAGGUGGAAGUAUGGGGAUUAGGUGGGGAGAAAGUUAAAGAACAGCAGGAUGCGUACAAGAAUAGAGAAGAACUUUUUACUGAGCAGAGACGCAAGGUUGAUUUGAAAACUUUUGGUGCCUGGGAGGAUUCACCAGAGAGGAUGAUGAUGGACAUGGUUUCCGAUCCCAACAAAGUUCAUCGGGAAGAUCGGUAGUAUUGCUCAAAGUUUCAAAUCCCAGGUUUAGCCGGAAUCAUUAAAUCAGAUCUGGAAGUUCUUUUAGUAGUCUUGUUAAGAUCUGGCCAAAAGGCACAGAGGUAAAUGGAACACCUACCGGUGCAUAUUUGGUGGAGCUUAGAGGCGCGCGCAGCCUGUUCUUUACCAUUAGAAACUACUAAAAUUGUUACUACAAUGUUGUUUACUCAAUGAAAGCAACUGGCAAGGAAGUCUUGGCUCUUGUUUUUGGUUUAUCUUGUUCAAUUCAGUUAAAAGUCCCUCUUGGUCUUGGGGAAACAAAGAAAGAAAAUGGGUAUUAAAAAGAUAAACGAACAAUUCUUGUAAACCCAAAUUGUUGAUUACCACAAAGUUUUUCUUUUUCUUUUUUUGCUUAAUUUUAAGUACACCACAAAAAAAAAUUCACAUAGUUGAUAUUGUCCACAUUGCCGGCAAAAAGCAAUUACUACAUUUUACAUUUUGCGGAA